CAGGCAAGUCGCAAAGUGGAACGCAGCGGCGAACGAGCUAAGAAAGUCAGUUGAAAACAGUGGAAACGCGGUGCCAGUCACUUUUUUUCAUUGCACAUAGAGAGAGGGCCCUGUAUACUCAGCAGCCUACCACCAACAAUCAACCAACCAACCGACCAGCCCAACCAACAUACCUGUCGUGUUGGCCACGUUUGUGGCGAUCCGAUCAGUGCACCGUCAGCCAGCGACGCGCACACACCGAACCACACAAUCCAGCAGUCUGGGAAACGAACACCACUGUAUAUACUAUCAAGCGAAGUGUUAGAGAUAAACUGAUAAUACAACGGAGCCGAGAAAAGAAAAGCACUAACGUGGCGUUAACUCUUUUAACUAAAAAACACUCACUCACUCAACCAAAAAAAAAAAAAAACGUCAGUAAAGACAAUAAACAAAGUAAAACAAAAACGAGUCAGCGGCAAAGUGUCAAUAAAACUCUCGAAUUCAUUAACACAACUCAAAACGUUCUAUUAGUAAGCACUUGCAAAUUUAAACGAAACAAAAAAAAAAAAUCUUGACAGAGAGAGAGAGAGACAGAGAGCGAUAAAAGGAGAGGGAACAUUAGACAGAAAUUAGCGUGGCCAACAGUCAAAAGGUCUAAUAGAAGCGCGUGUAUACGAGUCAAAAUGCCCGUAUACACCUCGUCGAGACCCACAAGCCAUGAUCGUAAAAACCACAUCAACAAAUGUUCGAAACGAGAUAAAAAAAACAACAACCGAGAAUAUAUGAAAAAUACAGAAAAAAAAGAUACAAAAACCCAGACGAGACCGCUGAGACAUGUCCUUGGCCUGUAAAAGGGCAGUGAAAUUCCUGGCACUCCAUAACAACAUCAUCAAAGGAUGGUGCGCAACUUCGGUUCCCAGGAGUCCUUUCAGCUGAACCGCUCUACUGAAGUACAGAAUUACAGAAAUUCAAAGCCCCCCCGCUGAAGUAUGCCAUAAGACAAAUGCCAUGGACUCGCUUACAAUUUGGUCUCGUCUUGUCAAUCAAUUGGGAUCGAGUCGGGGUCUAGAACUGGAAAUGGCCAAGGAUGACCGGCGACCGUUUCCUGUUUGGGUUGGCAAGUUGGUAAGUUAAUACUCGGACUAGGCUCUAACUUAAUUAGCCGCACGACAGACUGAAGACUAAAGACUGAAUGCCGAAAGCACACGACCCCGACCUCUGGUGACCUCAAAGCUGACGGAGGCGACUAAUUUAUCAAAAUGGCUAGAAAAACUGAAAUAACUCUACGCAUAAUUAAAUCCAGCUAAAAACGAAAAAUGAGUGAAACACCGCGAUACUCAAAUGCGUUUUUAAACCGUUGCGCAACGCCUAUUUCUAACAGUUUUAAAUUUUGUUGAGACUUUUCUUUGGUGUUUUGUUCGAAUUUUUCUUUUGCUUAAUUGCCGCCUAUUAAUCCCGACUCCGUUAAUGGUCUCACAAACAAAAAUUCUAAUUAAUGAAAUAUUUUUCGGCCUUUUGCAUGCAUUGUCUACUGUAGGCAUUCCAGCCCACCGAAAGUAUAAUCAAUCAUGGCCCAAGACCUCAUGGAUCUCACAGAUGGUGGAGAUUUUUGGACAAAGUGAACUUGAGUGUGUUGACAAAUUUGUGAGUUGCCGGCAUGGAUUGACAGGAAAAUUGAGUAAUCAAUCAUGGGCCAUCAAACGAAGCCGACCACAGCGAAUUGGCCUUCGAAAGGUCUGUUUAGUUAGUUAGCGAAAUCAAGUCUUAUCAACUGAUGAUGCACGUCGCGGCCAUUAUUUAAAUGCUAAUGUUAAUUAACGAAAUCACGUUAGUCGAGAAUGUUGACAAAAAUCUCACAAUCAGUAGUAGUAGUUGCUGCUCGAACAAGUUGAUUCAGGUUUGCUUAUAUUUUUAGUCGCUGUGCCUCGCAUGCGAUUGAAACGAAAUAUAAAAUUACAUUAAAUUACCGGAUGUAAUUGCGGUGGUCGUGCCAGUCGCCUCUCUCAACCCGGUCAAUGAAUCACGGCCCGGCGCACACGAAAUGCGUCGAAACAAAAGACUCAGGCAACGAACUCGAAUUCAACUCGGCCAGAUUUCAAGCGGCCGAGCACUUCACUUACGUAUGUCCAAAUCAGGGAAACCAGCAACCCACACAGAAUGGUAGAAAAAUCGAAAAACAAAUGAAGAGAGACCCACACAGAAAGGCCAGUUGAGUGGUAUCUUAUCAGGGCUAACGAUUUUGUCAAAUGACAAUUUUCUUGGCCCCAUUGAAUGCCUCUUUUUCACGCCAUUCAUUGACUUUUGUAUGGUCCAUUUAGUUGUCAAUUAUUUUUGAUAGCCUCAGCUGAGGCAGCUGAUAAGAACUGGUGACUAGCAAGCACAAGACUUGUUUAACAAUCCCAGGAAAUCCGUACAUUGAAAAGAGGAGGGGAAAUAGAGGACACCAUCGGAUCUGUGGCUGUGGAUCCAGCUACUGCCUCUCUCCGUUUUGGCCAAAUUUGCAUAUUGAACGGCAGUUUGUCUUGAGCCUGAGCUUUUAGUUAUGGCCGAGCAUUAAAUUUAACUAUUAAGCCAUUUUCGGAGGCCAGUUUUGUGGAGCUUGACUUUCCAAACAUUGUCCCCUGACAGUUGUACCCUAUGGGAAUUAUUUUCUUUUUUUUUCUGCCGCAAUUUAUGAGCCAAAAAGACACAGAUAGACAGAAUGAUUAACAUGAAGUGGAGAGGCAUGGGAACCUUGGAUUGGCAAAGUGAAAUGUUGAAAGCAAUAUAACUUUGACAUAUAAUUAAACAGAAAUAAAGGCUUUAUUUCUUAAAUCAAUGGUUCACUCAAUAGUGGCACACCCAAGUAGGUUUAUAUACACUAGCUUGCCAGCUGCAAUUGAAAAAAAAAACAAUUGCAAGAGUCGACUUAAUUUCAUCAUAAAAAUGCGAAUUAUCUCCAGAUGAAAUUCAUUUCUUGCAACUCAAUCAAGAGGCAUGCAACAGAGGCUGCUGACCUAUAUAUGGUUAAUAAGAAUCAACUUACAUGCCCGCAAAUGUAUGUAGGAAUGCUGGUGGCAUAAAGACCAUACAGAUAUACAGAUAUCCAUAUUGAUAUCUCCACCUCUGUUGCAUUUCGGUUCGUGCAACAAUUUUCGUCGAAAACAAUUUUCAGAGCACGAAACGAAACGUAACGAAAACGGGAGGGGAAAGAUCAGUGCAGAAAAUGAGAAAUUUUCGCAGUGCAUCAUAUGCCACGCACGUAGAAACCAAACCAAAAGCAAACGAAACAGUAACAAUCAGACAAUCAUGCACAUAAUCAUGCCAUCAAUAUAUGGCAAUUAUCAAUGAAAUUUAUAACAAUCCACGAAAUGUAACGAAAACUUAACCGACCAAUAAAAAUUUCAUUUUUCAAAAAGGAGCGCUCAACUCACUGCAGUUCGUCAUCCUCGUUCUGCAAG
rnacentral:lncRNA from 1 species